rnacentral:rRNA from 1 species
CCUACGGGGGGCAGCAGUGAGGAAUAUUGGUCAAUGGGCGCGAGCCUGAACCAGCCAAGUAGCGUGAAGGAUGACUGCCCUACGGGUUGUAAACUUCUUUUAUAAAGGAAUAAAGUGAGGCACGUGUGCCCGGAGGGAGAGUACCCGCAGAAUAAGCAUCGGCUAACUCCGUGCCAGCAGCCGCGGUAAUACGGAGGAUGCGAGCGUUAUCCGGAUUUAUUGGGUUUAAAGGGUGCGUAGGCGGAUUUUUAAGUCAGCGGUAAAAUGUCCGGGCUCAACCCGGGCCGGCCGUUGAAACUGGGGAUCUUGAGUGGGCGAGAAGUAUGCGGAAUGCGUGGUGUAGCGGUGAAAUGCAUAGAUAUCACGCAGAACUCCGAUUGCGAAGGCAGCAUACCGGCGCCCGACUGACGCUGAGGCACGAAAGCGUGGGGAUCGAACAGGAUUAGAUACCCCAGUAGUC